AACGAACGCUGGCGGCAGGCCUAACACAUGCAAGUCGAGCGAAGCCUUCGGGCUUAGCGGCGGACGGGUGAGUAACGCGUGGGAACGUGCCCUUUGGUACGGAAUAGCCCCGGGAAACUGGGAGUAAUACCGUAUGUGGUCGAGAGACGAAAGAUUUAUCGCCAAAGGAUCGGCCCGCGUUGGAUUAGGUAGUUGGUGGGGUAAUGGCCUACCAAGCCGACGAUCCAUAGCUGGUUUGAGAGGAUGAUCAGCCACAAUGGGACUGAGACACGGCCCAGACUCCGACGGGAGGCAGCAGUGGGGAAUCUUAGACAAUGGGGGAAACCCUGAUCUAGCCAUGCCGCGUGAUCGAUGAAGGCCUUAGGGUUGUAAAGAUCUUUCAGUGGGGAAGAUAAUGACUGUACCCACAGAAGAAGCCCCGGCUAACUCCGUGCCAGCCGCCGCGGUAAUAC
rnacentral:rRNA from 1 species